UUUACGGAAAAUCCAAUUUUUUUUUUUUUUUUUUUUUUCACCCUUCUACUUCUCCAAUGUGAGUGAUUUUUUGUAGGAGAGUGCACCAUGGUAAGGGCUACCAAUUACCCUAGCAACAGAUGGCAUAGGAAUCAUUUGGGAAAAAUGGCAGAGUAUUUCAUAACUUUGUUUUAGCAAAAUUUUACCUAAUUCUGGAGCAAGGUGAAAAUCACCAAAACCAUUGUCAAAGUCACACAACUUCAUGUAUUGAGCUAAAACUUUGUACAAAUGAAGGUCUUGGAAUAAACUUCAAAACCCACUAUCAAGAGAUUGAAUUGCAUGCAUGGUUCCAGAGAAAUCUAAAU
rnacentral:ribozyme from 1 species